GGGUCAUAACCCGUUGUACACUGUCCGCGAAGCGAAGCGAGCGACUGACGACGAGGGCUUACAGGAGACUUACAGCGAGGGCUGCACUACUAACGUCUGAAUACGUACAAUCUCACCACUGACCCGGGCGCCGUGGACAGACACAUCACCAUCAGUCAGACGUGCAAUUAUGCUAAGAAUGUGGCAGAAACGCGGCUCCCUGGCUCUUAUUGCAGUUGAGUAGUUUUCCUUCAAAGACUUUAUAAAGUUUCCUUUCACUACGCAGCCUAAUGCGGGACUAAUUCGACAGCAGAACUAACGGGUUAGACAGUAACAGCAACCAAUGCUAAUUAAAUGAAUCAUAUUCAUAAACCAAGGCAAAGAAGAAAAUUUCAGCAUAAAGAGCAAACCGGCGUAUCAGAUCACUGAAAAUUGCAAGUAAGCACUGUCUGAGAAAAUGGUCAACAUUGGCGUUCGUGAAGUCAUCCGCUACCUCGGUCUCAAGUGCUUAUCACCCAAGGAGGUCCACGAGGACAUGGCAGCAACACUAGGGGAGGCUGAAAAAUAAAUGUGCUACCUUAGGCCACAAGCUUAUCAAUCACCCCUCGUGUAUGUGAUAAAUAAAUCUGAAUCUGAAUCUUAAGUAAUAACUCUAUGUACUGAGUGAAAUGAAACUCGAUAAUUAUAAAAACUCUGGCUAG